rnacentral:rRNA from 1 species
AACGAUGAUGUUGGUGUCGCACAUUAGACUUGUGUUUAAAUAGAGCUUUGCUCGUGAACCAAAUAUGGUGGGCUGGGUUGUCUUUGUGGAAACGCUUAGGCGACUUGUCUACGAAUUGUAAUCAUAAUAUGGGCGGCGGUGAAUCCUUUGCAGACGACUUGAAUGGGAACGGGGUACUGUAAGUGGUAGAGUAGCCUUGUUGCUACGAUCCACUGAGGUUAAGCCCUUGUUCUAAAGAUUUGUUC